rnacentral:rRNA from 1 species
AUAGAAAAACGGAGAAGAACAACGGGGAUUGCCCUAGUAACGGCGAGUGAAGCGGCAAUAGCUCAAAUUUGAAAUCUGGCCCUCGCGGUCCGAGUUGUAAUUUGUAGAGGAUGCUUUUGGUGCGGUGCCUUCCGAGUUCCCUGGAACGGGACGCCAGAGAGGGUGAGAGCCCCGUACGGUUGGACGCCUAACCUAUAUAUAGCUCCUUCGACGAGUCGAGUAGUUUGGGAAUGCUGCUCUAAAUGGGAGGUAAAUUUCUUCUAAAGCUAAAUACCGGCCAGAGACCGAUAGCGCACAAGUAGAGUGAUCGAAAGAUGAAAAGCACUUUGAAAAGAGGGUUAAAUAGCACGUGAAAUUGUUGAAAGGGAAGCGUUUGCGACCAGACCUUUUCCAGGGGGAUCAACCGGUGUUCUCACCGGUGCACUUCCCCUGGUUUAGGCCAGCAUCGGUUCUUUGAGGGGGAUAAAGGCAGGGGGAACGUAGCUCUUUCGGGAGUGUUAUAGCCCCCUGCGUAAUACCCCUCGGGGGACCGAGGACCGCGCUCUGCAAGGAUGCUGGCGUAAUGGUCGUCAACGACCCGUCUUGAAACACGGACCAAGGAGUCGAACAUUUGUGCGAGUGUUUGGGUGUUAAACCCUCACGCGUAAUGAAAGUGAACGGAGGUGAGAGCCCUUACGGGCGCAUCAUCGACCGAUCCUGAUGUCUUCGGAUGGAUUUGAGUAAGAGCAUAACUGUUCGGACCCGAAAGAUGGUGAACUAUGCGUGGAUAG